GAAACCAGCCGUCACCCCCUUGCUCUCACAGGACGCUCUGCUAGGAUUUCUCCCCAAGCUUUCUCGAACUAGCUUCGAACCAGUUCCUACUCCACCUCUUUAGUGCGUUCUGAGGGCUGCAGUGCUCGUGUCGUGUCGUCAAGGCUUCGGUUGACCGUGUUUCUAGAUGGGCGAGGUUCUCGUGGUCAGCAAGGGAGUGGAGAUUCCGCUGCUUAGCCAUCGGGGCUGGAUUUUAUUUUCCUGCAUGGUUUUCGUUAGGGCUAUGGCCCAUGUUUUGUUUUACGCCUUGCUACUCUUUUCCCUUUUGUUAGACUUGUAUCUAGUUUUCUGUUGGCAUCGUGGUGUGCCCAAGGUCGUGAGGGUUGUGUUAAAGACCCUAGAACUACGCUACAAUACUAUUAU